rnacentral:lncRNA from 1 species
GGCAGGUAGGGCUAGACCAUCCUUGAGUCCCAGCCUGAUACAGGAGACAGUACAAGAGCCCAGGUCACCCGAGAUCUGCAAGGCCCUGUCUGUCGUCUCCGCACAGCCUCCACCAGCAGACAUCUAAAGAUCUCCAUGAAGAUGAGGUGUCUCAUCAGAGUUGUUGGGACUUACCCACAGAGGGGUCCCUAAAACCAAGGGACAUAGGGUGGUGUUAAGAUGCCUAAGUCCAAUGCCCCCCACUUCAUAGCCUCUAGGUCUCGGUCGUUUCCAG